UUCCUGUACUUGGUGUUACUGCGAAGGGGGGACGGAGAAGGCUAUGUUGGCCGGGCGACGGUUGUCCCGGUUUAAGCGUGUAGGCUGGUUUUCCAGGCAAAUCCGGAAAAUCAAGGCUGAGGCGUGAUGACGAGGCACUACGGUGCUGAAGCGACAAAUGCCCUGCUUCCAGGAAAAGCCUCUAAGCAUCAGGUAACAUCAAAUCGUACCCCAAACCGACACAGGUGGUCAGGUAGAGAAUACCAAGGCGCUUGAGAGAACUCGGGUGAAGGAACUAGGCAAAAUGGUGCCGUAACUUCGGGAGAAGGCACGCUGAUAUGUAGGUGAAGCGACUUGCUCGUGGAGCUGAAAUCAGUCGAAGAUACCAGCUGGCUGCAACUGUUUAUUAAAAACACAGCACUGUGCAAACACGAAAGUGGACGUAUACGGUGUGACGCCUGCCCGGUGCCGGAAGGUUAAUUGAUGGGGUUAGCGGUAACGCGAAGCUCUUGAUCGAAGCCCCGGUAAACGGCGGCCGUAACUAUAACGGUCCUAAGGUAGCGAAAUUCCUUGUCGGGUAAGUUCCGACCUGCACGAAUGGCGUAAUGAUGGCCAGGCUGUCUCCACCCGAGACUCAGUGAAAUUGAACUCGCUGUGAAGAUGCAGUGUACCCGCGGCAAGACGGAAAGACCCCGUGAACCUUUACUAUAGCUUGACACUGAACAUUGAGCCUUGAUGUGUAGGAUAGGUGGGAGGCUUUGAAGUGUGGACGCCAGUCUGCAUGGAGCCGACCUUGAAAUACCACCCUUUAAUGUUUGAUGUUCUAACGUGGGCCCCUUACCGGGGUUGCGGACAGUGUCUGGUGGGUAGUUUGACUGGGGCGGUCUCCUCCUAAAGAGUAACGGAGGAGCACGAAGGUUGGCUAAUCCUGGUCGGACAUCAGGAGGUUAGUGCAAUGGCAUAAGCCAGCUUGACUGCGAGCGUGACGGCGCGAGCAGGUGCGAAAGCAGGUCAUAGUGAUCCGGUGGUUCUGAAUGGAAGGGCCAUCGCUCAACGGAUAAAAGGUACUCCGGGGAUAACAGGCUGAUACCGCCCAAGAGUUCAUAUCGACGGCGGUGUUUGGCACCUCGAUGUCGGCUCAUCACAUCCUGGGGCUGAAGUAGGUCCCAAGGGUAUGGCUGUUCGCCAUUUAAAGUGGUACGCGAGCUGGGUUUAGAACGUCGUGAGACAGUUCGGUCCCUAUCUGCCGUGGGCGCUGGAGAACUGAGGGGGGCUGCUCCUAGUACGAGAGGACCGGAGUGGACGCAUCACUGGUGUUCGGGUUGUCAUGCCAAUGGCACUGCCCGGUAGCUAAAUGCGGAAGAGAUAAGUGCUGAAAGCAUCUAAGCACGAAACUUGCCCCGAGAUGAGUUCUCCCUGACUCCUUGAGAGUCCUGAAGGAACGUUGAAGACGACGACGUUGAUAGGCCGGGUGUGUAAGCGCAGCGAUGCGUUGAGCUAACCGGUACUAAUGAACCGUGAGGCUUAACCUUACAACGCCGAAG
rnacentral:rRNA from 1 species